GGCGGGGAGCCGAGGGGCGGGGGCGCACCUGUUUGGCCAAUCGACCCCACUAUUACCACCCCACCCGGCCGGACUGGGCAGGGCCGAACCUCUCAGCUCCCGGCACACGCCCCCUGUCCCCGCUUUGGCCCGGGAUCUAGGCCCGGCCACAUGCCUCCUCCCCUUCCCGGGCCCAGCGGUCUCAGCCGGCCCGCGGAGGCCCUCUGUGCGGCUGGACUGCGCGCCUUCCCUGGCCUCCAGGAUUUCAGAGAGAAAUCCCUGCUUUAGCCCGGGGGCUCUGGGGUAUGGGACCGGGGAGUGGACCACGACUCUGCUUCGCUCACCCCUCUCCCACUCUACACCUGCUCUCCCGCAAGGAUCUUCGUGCGUCCGCUGACCCUUUAAACUUUGCUGUGCGCCGCGCCUGGAUCUCUGGCCGCGCGGGACGUGGGCCGAUGCCAGGUCCAGAGCGUUGGGAGAGGCCGGCGGGGUGGGGAGGACGGCAGAGAGAAGGCACCUCCAGCCCUUCCCACCAACACAGGCUCUCGAGGACUCAUCUGGGUUCUGCCAGACUUCUCCAGCACGCUUGUGAUCCACUGCCGCGGCUUCCCUAACUUAUCUUGGGAUCAAAAUAUUAAAGCUUGACGAUUUUAUUGUCCCAUUUUCCAGAUAGGAAGACUGAGGUCAAAGAGGCGACCGCUUCUGGGACGCGGCAGCGAGACGGUGACUUUUUCAAACUAAAGAAGCUGAGCUUGCACUGGCGGCCAAGGACAUUGGGGAACAGAGACCUCUGAAGCCCAGACACAGGAACAGGAGGCUGAGCAGACCUGGCCUGGCUGGAAACAUUAGAAGGGACCGAGGCAGCGAGAUGUCUAAAAUAGGAAGACGACGGGGACGAUUGGCCUGGCUGGCCGCGACGCUGGCUGUGGGGAUCUGGCCGGCUGUGCAGACGGAAAAGCUAAGAGGCUGGCAAGAGAAAGCAAGAAAUGAGAGAAAAGUACCAGAGGAUAAGUGGGGGAAACCGAAAACAAUAAAAUGGGAGAGCUACAGCCAAAUAUACGGCAAUUAUAUUAAAUGUGAGCAGAUUAAAUACUCUAAUUGAAAGACAAACAUUAACACAUUGGAUAAAAAAAUGAAUAAGCCCAAUCAUAUGCUGCUUACAAGAGAGACAUGUCCCAUGUAAGGAUACAGAACUGAAGAGAGUAGAAGAAUGGAAAAAGUUA